UUUUUUCCCUCCAACACCUCUUAAGAUGUUCUCCUUCUUCACACUUUGUUGCGUUUGAUUGAUUUCAAAGCCAGGUAAGCAUCUUGGAUAUACUUCUGUGAUUUUGGAAUCACAGAUAUGGCCAACACAAAUGCAGAAUUGUCCCAGGGAAAUGGUGGUGCUUCUUAUUCUUAUUCCCAACCUGGGUCACAAGAGCAUCAACAACGUUCUCAAGGUGGCACUGGCAAUAUG